GGCUGAAACUCGCCUCUUUGAAGUCGGAAUCGCUAGUAAUCGCAGAUCAGCAUGUUGCGGUGAAUACGUUCCCGGGUCUUGUACACACCGCCCGUCAAACCAUGAGAGUCGCCAACACCCGAAGUCCACCUAGUGGCCUAAGGUGGGGGAGAUGAUUGGGGUUAAGUCGUAACAAGGUAAC
rnacentral:rRNA from 1 species